UACGGAGGAUGCGAGCGUUAUCCGGAUUUAUUGGGUUUAAAGGGUGCGCAGGCGGCACGGCAAGCCGGCGGUCAAAUCGCGGGGCCCAACCCCGCCCAGCCGUCGGAACUGCCGGGCUAGAGUGGGCGAGAAGUGCGCGGAAUGCGUGGUGUAGCGGUGAAAUGCAUAGAUAUCACGCAGAACUCCGAUUGCGAAGGCAGCGCACCGGCGCCCUACUGACGCUCAGGCACGAAAGCGUGGGUAUCGAACAGG
rnacentral:rRNA from 1 species